CAUUACAGAGUUCAUGCCCUCACGGGUAGACCUCCCACCCUUGAAUACUAUACCUUUGUUGCUUUGGCGGGCCGCCUUGGCUACUGGCUCCGGCUGGUAAGUGCCCGCCAAAGGACCCCAAAACUCUGAAUAUUAGUGUCGUCUGAGUACUAUAUAAUAGUUAAAACUUUCAACAACGGAUCUCUUGGUUCUGGCAUCGAUGAAGAACGCAGCGAAAUGCGAUAAGUAAUGUGAAUUGCAGAAUUCAGUGAAUCAUCGAAUCUUUGAACGCACAUUGCGCCCCUUGGUAUUCCGAGGGGCAUGCCCGUUCGAGCGUCAUUAUAACCCCUCAAGCCUAGCUUGGUGUUGGGGCCUGCUGUUACCGGCAGCCCUUAAAAUCAGUGGCGGUGCCAUCUGGCUCUAAGCGUAGUAAUACUUCUCGCUACAGGGUCCCGGUGGAUGCUUGCCAUCAACCCCUAAUUUUCUAUGGUUGACCUCGGAUCGGGUAGGGAUACCC
rnacentral:rRNA from 1 species